CCCCGCCCCGCCCGCCGCCGCUCCCCCGCCCGGGCCCUGCCCAUGGCUGUCCUCGCUCCGGGAAGGGUCCAGUCGUAGGCACAGCCCAGCCGUGUCUGCUCCCUUGCACGGAGCUUUGCUGAGCCGAAAAUCUGCUCCAGAACUUUUGGAGAAAACACUAAAGCAGCACAAGGCCAGCUAACUUUACAACUUGAGCCGUGCAGACAAGGUGCAAGGAAGAGGAAUGGAAACGCCCUGGACGUCAAGGCUCCAGUGACAGGGAGAGGAUUGAUUUUUGGGUCUAGGGCGGAUUCCUGGGCAGUUCUCAGGCCACUGAAAGUGUGCCCCAGAUGGAGCUUCCUCCAUUCAGCUGCAAAAUAGCAAUGGUAACAUAAGUAUACAAGGCUUAACUGUACAACAGCAGCAAGACCUUCUCUGGAGGACAGACAUCCUUGGGCCUAUGCUCAGUCCCCCUUCUGAUGCCUGCCUUGGGAGCUGAGUGCCCCACACUUCAUCUCCAGGCAUGAUUCUUCACUGUCUAAAAACAUCGGGAGCAAACUGUAAAACAGUCAACAGCUACAUCAUGUAGAAAGGAACAUCUUCCCAGUUCCAUUCCUAGAAAUCUUAUGUUCAAUAUUUCUGGUGGCACAAGUAGCUCCUGGUUGCAUAGGACAUGCCAGAUCACCCUUAUUCAGGAUAUUGGCUCUGAAGUAUCACACUUUGAAGCGAACAUCUAUAGCACGGUAUUUUGCACUAAGAGCAGAAUUAAACAUAGCACAGAUACAUAUUUGUAUUUCCAUAGAGCAUUCAGAAUUUAACUUCCUAGAAAACUGUGUAUAAAUGGGUAAAUGCCUCGAUAGCAAAGAUAACAGGCAUACACUGUCACAUACCUAAUCCAAUUUCAUAUUCAUUAUGGCAACUGUUCUUAACCGAAGGCAAAAGACUGCAAAAUGUACUCUGUUACCAGGAGAGGAAUGGUUAAGGCACAUGCAGCACAGAAUAUUCACACAGGCGCACCCCAUAUCAGUGGCAAAAAAUUACUUAUGCUCCUGAGAGAAACAAAUUGUUCAGAAAAAGACAAUGAAACUGUUUCAGACUGCAACAUCACAUCAGAGCAUUCCUCCAACACAGUGAUGGAAAAGUGGUGGUGUACAGGCACAGCAAACAUCUUUCAACUGAGGCUGAAAGUAAAAGUAGAAUUCUACCCAAGUGCAUGUUAUAUUAAACAGAUUCUUAGGUGUAGGAACAGAUCAUUGCCCUCAAGUUCUGGACUGCUCUGCUCUAUGAACACAGCUAUCCCCCCCCUGCCUAGCUCUGGGUCCCUGCACUUCUCAUGAAACCUGAAAGCACAUUUCCACUGAGAUCAGAGGAAGCCCACACGAGUGAGGAAUGAACAGCAAGUGAUCCCCAGCCCGGCUUUGGUCCUGCUGCCACACUGCAAGCAGGCACUGCAGGGCUGCAGAGCUGCGAUCAUGGCCCUGGCACUGCCCAGCCCAGCUCUCCUGCGCCCUGCUGGAGCAGCAGCCUCUGCUGCAGGCUGGCUGCAGGUGGGAGGCACGGCCGCUGCUCCAGCAGCCACUGCACUGCUUGGGAGACUUGGGGUCAGCACAUGAGCAAAUAAUGGUGAUGGAAAUAGCAGUGAUUUUAAGUAUUCUGCUGCUUGCAACACAGUUCCUUCUGAAAGUAAUACCCACAACAGUAAUACCUCAAAAUACUCUGUUUUGACAUCACUGGCUCAGAAAGUUAAUGUAAAUUGGAACAGACUCAGUCAGCAUUAAAAAAAAAAAGUAAUUAAAAAAACCCCCUCAAGCUAGGCAAAACACCCCCAAAGUAUUAUUUGGUGAAAAGUUUUGAAAUACUCUUUGUUUAUACUAUCGUGAAAAUAAAGCAGAACUUCAAUAUUUUCAACAAUAAAAUAAUUACAAUUCCUGAGUACAAGCUACUCUUGUCACUCCUACCUAAAGCCCAAAGUAAGUCUUUUGCAGAACUAGUAUGACUGCAGUGAAAUGAAUUAAUGUUCUAAAGAAAAGCAAAAGAGAAACUGGCAUAUAUAUGCCAAUUUAUUUUUCUUUUUAAAUAAAAUAUUAUGGUUUAUGUGAUACUGUACCAGAGAGAAUUGUACUAAAAAAGAAACUAAAGAAUUAGGCAAGUGUAUGUUUUUCUUUCUCAACGCCUCUUCAAUGUCGUGCAUUAAAUAAGUAAACUUGAGUAAUCUCUGCUAUACUUUUAGUGCAUAUACAUGACGUCAUUAUGUGUUUUUUUAUUACAAUGCAUUUAUCUCAGGAGUACCUUAAAGAUGAAAAGUGAGCCAAAGUAUUUAUAACCUUCUGUACAUGAUGCUUGAAAGGAGUCCAACAAAUUCUUCUCUCAAGCCAUUCUCUUAAAGGUCCUUCAGUAAAAUUAUGGCUUUGAAAGUCUACUUUUGAAUCGUUUUUUCUUUCAGAGUAGAUGGAGUAUGAAGUAUUUGCAAUUUUGAGUAAGUUUUCUUUUUUUUCCUGCUGGUUUAAUAAAAGCAAGUAUCUAUCUACA